ensembl:misc_RNA Metazoa_SRP Metazoan signal recognition particle RNA
GCCAGGCACAGUGGCGCGUGCCUGUAGUUCCAGCUACUUGGGAGGCUGAGGUUGGAGAAUCCCUUGAGCCCAGGAGUUCUGGGCUGUAGUGCACUAUACUGAUCAGGUGUCCGCACUAAGUUUGGCAUCAAUAUGGCGACGUCCCGGGAGCAGGGGACCACCAGGUUGCCUAAGCAGGGGUGAACUGGCCCAGGUUGGAAACUGAGCAGGUUAAAACUCCCGUGCUGAUCAAUAGUGGGAUUGCCCCUGUGAAUAGCCACUGCACUCCAGCCUGGGCAACAUAGUGAGACCCUGCCUCUA